rnacentral:misc_RNA from 1 species
GAUGAAGAACGUAGCGAAAUGCGAUAAGUAAUGUGAAUUGCAGAAUUCAGUGAAUCAUCGAAUCUUUGAACGCACAUUGCGCCCGCCAGUAUUCUGGCGGGCAUGCCUGUUCGAGCGUCAUUUCAACCAUCAAGCCCCCGGCUUGUGUUGGGGACCUGCGGCUGCCGCAGGCCCUGAAAACCAGUGGCGGGCUCGCUAGUCACUCCGAGCGUAGUAAUACAUCUCGCUCAGGGCGUGCUGCGGGUUCCGGCCGUUAAAAAGCCUUAUUUACCCGAGGUUGACCUCGGAUCAGGUAGGAAGACCCGCUGAACUUAAGCAUAUCAAUAAGCGGAGGA